UGUAUGCUUAGUAUUGCUAUUGCCUUUCUCAUGGUCUGUUCAAUUUCAGUUCAGUUCAGCUCCAAUCAGUUCAGUUUAGUUCACCUUCUAAUUUCCUUUUCUCAUAAAAUAUUCAUUUAAGCUCUAUUUAGUUCAGUUCAGGUUAGUUCAUUAAAUGUGAAUAGGCCCUUAGCCUAUUCAUUUCAAUGCAUCUUAAAAGGGGUUUGAUAUUUUGCGAAAAUAUGUUGGUUAUGCUUGUUCGUCCUUUAUCAUUUGGAGAAAUUUUGUUUAAUGGCACACAUUUAUAGUAAUGUAUGUUUGCUAUGCUUGCGAUGUAAAUCAUUAGUGACUUUGUUUAUUCAAGAUUGACAUUGAAUACAAAAAUAUUGUGUAAAAAAAAUGAUCUUUCCAUAUAAGUUCAAGAAUACAAGGGUUAAGUGUAUGUUCUAGAUUAUAAUGCCUUGCACGUUGGAUUUCUUUGGUGCUAAGCAAACCUCACAUCUUGAAUUAUUAAUGAUAGUAUGGCUUUGUAUUGAAAAUGGCAUAUGUGAUUUGAAGUUGCCAUAUAUUUUUAUAAAGCUUCUUACUUUAGGACAUAUAGGAUUAUUGUGCCCUUCAUUGUGCUUUGAGCACUAAAACAUCUUUUGGUUAAUCUAUCUUGCUGUGUGUAGUUGGUAAGGGACAAGGAGAGAAAUAUAGAAGACUUGUUUGAUACGUAUAUUCUGAUACGGAGUAUAAGGACAUGACUCAUGAGUACAUGACAUUUGCUAAUAGUGAGCAAAGAAGUGUUUUGUUCGUUUAUAUCAAAUUAGCUGUCAAGGCCGUGCCGUUGUGGCUGGUAUGUAGUUGUGAUGCUGAUUCCAUUAGUAACUAAAGAAAAUCAAAACCUAGAAGAGAGCAGAUUUGUAGUAUAGGGUUCAGUAUAAAUUUGUUAAGGAUUUUUUCCAACUGCAGUUACAAAUCUUGGAGAAUCAUAUCAACCAUAAUUUGAUAUGCAAUUUUCAGUUUAAGUUUAUUUAAAAAUAAGUGCUUUUAGGAAUUCAAGACCCUAAUGUUGUUCAUAAUAAUCAAUUUUGACUUGAAUGUUCAAGUGUGAUUCAAACAUCCAUAUUUGUUAAUUGUUAUACAUCCAACACACCCUUACUCAGAGUUAAAAUUUGUGCUGAUUGGGUUCUGUUCUUACAGAUGCGUAUACUUCAGUUAAUAAUACAUAUCUUUUGACAAAAUAAUCUGUUUUAUUAUUCUUGCUAAACAAAAAAUUUCUGCUUAGAUUAUUUGGGUAAUUCUCAUAUAAUUGAUGUAAUAAUUACUGCACUUGAAAGUUGAAACUUAAUGCAGAGGCAGAUCAGUUUAAAUUGGUCAUAAGUGUUGCCAAUGAGGAAAUCAAUUGUAGGAUGAUUUAUCACUUAGAUUCAUUGGCUGAAGUUGUUGUUCAACAUUGCAUAGCUAUAAGUUGUGGCGGCGCACAUUAUGAUGUUACUUGAUGGGACUUCAGGGUCGGAGUUCAUGUAUUUUGUGCAACAAAUGCUAUUGCUAAGCAAUUAAUGACUUGUUCGCUCACGGACUGGGUUGAAGGUUCCAUGGAAGAUUUUUAGGCAGAUGAGCACUCAAUAUACAAAAAUUAUGAUCACUUCUGUUAUCAAGGUCAAGGUACUUUUUUUUAUUUUUUUAUUUUUUUAUUUAUUCAAGAACUAUAUCUUAUACUUCAGUUUAUGGCCAAACAUAAAGUUUCGCGUACAUUGUUUGGGGAUUUUUCUGUGAGUGAAUGUAAAUUUAUUGCCAGUGAUGAAAUCAAUGCUAGCAUAAUCUUUCGCAUUGAUCAUGUCUUUGAUUACUUCUGCGGAUUGGCUGAAGGUAGAUGAUUGUUCUUUCUCUGUUUUAUUUUUGGGAGAUCAUUUAUCCAUAUGAGGCUUUUGUUUCUCCUGUUUGCAGGCACUUUGUUGUUUUAAUGAUUAUAUAAUACCUAAACAUGCAUGCUGACAAGCGACAUAUCUUCAUGUCAGAGACUCAGAGUGUGACAAAAUUUUCUAUUCAUCUGUUUAGUGUGAAACCAUGACGAAUAUAUAUGUUGUUUUACACACAGCAGAAGUUGUGAUGGUGCAUCUCCAUUGGAUCUGAGUACAUGAUUAUGUUACUAGAUGGAGCUUUAGGUUUAGUGUUCUUCUAUGUGGUGCAACAAAGGAUCUAUUUCGAAGAGGCUACUACUCCGUGAAGCUAUGUAUCUUGAUACUGUACUACCACACUUAAUUCAUAAAGGUUUUUUUAUUUUGAAAUCACUUGACUUAACCACACAUGGCACUAUCUUUUUCUCGCUUCAUUUGUUAACGUAUUUUAAACUAGGUGGUUUUAAGUUUUCUUCUAAUCAUAUUUACAUCGGCAUUCUCUUUUGUUUUUUUGUUGCUAUAAAGAAAUUGGAUAACGAUUCUACAUUUUUCCUUCAUAUAAUUUUAUCAUCUUUUUCCACCCCAUAAGGUGUUUGUAAGAUGAAAAAAAUGGAAAAAUAGAAGUAAAUAAGUUAUUUCAUUCAUUUACAACAGCUGUAGUUUCUCAUAUUCUCAUGGCAGUUUCAUGUUUGUUGCCAUCACAAGAAUCAGAGUCAAAGUUUUAUUGUUUAUUUUAUUUGUCUUAAAGUUGCUAUCAUUCUUUAAGUCUUUUACCUAUUGUUUUUCUUGUUGACGUGUUUAAAAUUUUUGGAUUAAAGAAAAUGGAAGUGACGAUUGGAAAAGUUUUAUUUUUCAUUUUAAUGUUGAAGUAGGUAGCUGAUGAGUUUUAUCACCAUAUGAUCAAUAUUGAGAUCUUUCUUAAGAGUUGAAAUCUAAUUCAAUUUCUUAAUCUUCUCCUUUUUCUUUCUUUCUUUUUUUUUUUUUUUUUAAAAAAGUGACUUUAAGCAAUCUGGCUUUAGCUAAGCAAUCUAGUUCUAUUGAUUAGAUCGCUCAUGGAGUUGAUAGUUGAUCGUAUGUUCAAUGGAAGAUUCAUAUGGUAGAUGAGCUUUGAAUAUAUGUACAAAUAUUUUGGUCGCUAUGGUUAUCAAGGUUGCUGACUAGGCGCUUUUAAUUGUGAAAAGAAACGUGAUAAUUACCUUUUGAAGAUGAACUAUGUACCUCUUUUGAUUGUCUUGAAUCAGCUAUUAUUGUAGGGAGAUAUCAUUGAUCACACCUAUAAGGAUGGAAUCCCAAAAGUAUUUAUGUCUUUGUUACCAUGAAAUGUCCUAGGAAGGAGAAGAAAAAGAAGAGAUCUAAGUGGUGAUACGUAUCAUAUUGCAUUUGCAAUUCACCAAAAUAGCCUACAAAUUCAUUGCCAUUGAAAACCUAAGGAAUCUUGUCCCAAAUAUAUGGUUCACCUUGAACCAUCCUUAAAAUGGGUAAGAUUAUAUUUACCUGGUGUAAACUCUUCAAGUGAAUUUGUUCACCCAACCUAACAAAGUAAAUCAACUCCACUCUCGUAUCUAGUGGUACUUCGUAAGGAUGGGUUUUUAUUUUUUAUUUGUCGCCUUAUGGCAUGCCUAUCUUAUGGUAUGCCUAUCUUGUAAGGUGCUAUUCUCGUCAAAUUUGUUUGCGCCAUAUUAUCCGAAAGUUUAAUUUCUACCAUUUGUUAAAGAUGUACCACAAGAUGGAAAUAAGGGUCACAAUUCUAGUCAACAUGAUGGGUUUAAGUCCAAUUUAGUUUUAUAAUUGAGUUGUGCUAAAAGCCUCUCAGAAAUUUUGUAAAACUUUAUAUAAUUAAAUUAUAAAAUAAGAUUCAUGGGCCCAUCUGGUUAAGUUUGGGCUGUUAAUGUUUGGUUCAGAUCAAGUUUGAGUUUUUCUAAGUAAUUUCACUAUUUCAGAUUGGGUUAUCGGAUUGUUAAGGGACUGCAAGCUAUGAAUGGAAUUGAUCUCUUUCCUUGGUUUUAUUGUCAUGUUUGCAAAUUGAAAUUCUACUUUGGCCAUACGAUUGGAAUCGAUAUCUUUCCUUGGUAUUGUCAUGUUUGCAAAUUGAAAUUCUACUUUGGCCAUGGCACUCAUUUGUUAAAGAUUGUAGCUUAUUUACUAGCACGAGAGGAUGUGUUGGUUCAUUGGUAUACGAAGUCAUAAAUAUUAUUUGGUUCUUAUUCUUUUGAAGUUGCUUUUAGAGUGAAGAUUAGGUUUUGAAGUUUUACAAUAUUGACCUUUAUGACUAUACAAAUAAAUUAUGUACUCUCUCGUUAUUUGUUACAUUUCUAGGUAUAUAUAUGAUGCUCAGAUUAGAAAACAUGGAUGCAAAUUUCGUUAUUACAUUAUUGAUUUUUUUUUUUCUUUUCUUAUUGGAAUAUUUAUAAUAGUUGAAUAACGAAAAUUGUUUUGAUUGUUUGAAAACCGGUAUUAAAGUCUGGAUCAAAAUUUUAAAAGGGUUAAACAUAAGCUUAAAAUAUAAUGUACUCCGUAGGAUUUUUCUGGACUGAAUAAUUGAGACUUGAGAGAAGAGGAAGAGAGAGAUAGAAAAAGUGAGAGAGUUCAGGAAGAGUAAAUAUGUGAAAGAUGAUUUUGAAGAGAUUUUUUUUUAGAUAACUAUUUGAGCUGAGGUAGCAGCAAGUCUCAAGUUGGGUUGGAUUCGGGCAUGUUGUUUAUUUAUCAAAGCAACGUCUAAGUGGUUAAUCCCUUGAUGGGCCAACUUAUAUUAUGUUAGGAAUUAGGACUAUCUAUGCUUUUGAAAGUUGACAAUAUAACUAAACAUGAACCAUUUGGGUUUAAUUGUUAAAGGUUAAAAGAACCACAUUGAUUCACAUGUAUGUAAUAUGCAAUUAUGCAUUCACUAAUGAAAUUAUAUAUUCCAAGGUCAGGAUUUUCAUUUUCAAAGCUAUUCUAAACAUCCAUCGAAUCGUUUCAUCUUUCAGAAACUUGAUUAGGUACUUGGUUUGGGCCGUUCAAGUUGUUAAUGGGUGUUUUGAUCUACUAUAAGUAUUAUAGAGCCACUUCAUUGGUUAGUGUUUUUUUUCAAGUGCAGCACCUUCAUAAUAGGCCUUAUGUGCAAUGAUCCUAACAAUGAAAAAUCAUGAAAACUUGUGCUUGCUUGAUUCCUUAAUUCAUGCAUGCACGUAGUUUGUUUGUGUUGUGAUUGAUGAAUCAUUAACAGUUAGGAUUGAUUUUCUUGGCACAUAUGGAUUUCAUAUUGACCUUACUAUGUAUAAUUAUCUACAUGGAUGGGUAUUCCAAUUUGGAAAGGAUUUCCUUGUGUUGAAUGAGGUUACGUCAUGUUUGAUUGUUUGCUUAGUUAAUGAGUGCACUUAGUCAUUAUUAGCUGUGAUAAUAUUCGGAUCGAUGUCGGUAUGACUAGAUUUUAGGUUGUUUGCUAGAUUUCCUUAAUUGAACAUAUUAUUGCUUUACAUGGAUGGACUAUCAGUCGGUGCAUAGUGAGUUGGAUAAUUCUAGCUUCUGUUUUGAGGCAUUUCUGGUUUUCCUAAGUUGCCAUGUUGGACUUUGGAAGGCUUAAGGAGAGGUAAAUUCUCCAGUAUGUGUCUGUCUUGUUGUUUUGUGGCUGUGUGACUAAAAACAUAGAAGUGAUUAAAUCAUUCAACGUAACUCUCAUCGUGCAUCUUUAUAGGAUAGAGAUGUUUUCCUGCUUUCUUGAAAGCAUUUCUAAAUUUUGCAAUAUUGUAGGACACUUUUUGCAUGAACAUCAUUCUCUGUGGCUUAAAUUCCUUUCUUAGUGCCUCAUUUAUGAUAUAGGAAGUAGUUAUUGGAUAAAUUAACUGAUGGACUGUGGACCAGUAAACUGUAAAAUAAGAUGAUGACUCUUGGGAAUUAUUUAGGCAAGAGUCUUUUUGAGGAUGACUACUUAGGAAUUAUUUAGGCAAGAGUCUUUAUGAGGAUGACUACUUAAGAAUUAUUUCUUCCAAGAUUUAACCUCAAUCUAUAAUUAAUUUUUUUGUGAAGAGGUGAUUUUACUCUUUGUUCUGUUUUUUGUAUGUGUAUUGAUGAGCACAACGUUAGAACUUUGUUAUUAGUGUUAGAGGCUUAGAGCUGUUAUAAGAAGUUUCUUAUGAAUGAUGAAAGUUAUGUUUGCUUGAAUUGGCUGCUCGAGUCUAGAUUCUCUAGAUCACCCUUCUCCACUGAGAUUUUCUAAAAUCAGAAGCUAAUUGGUUAUAGAGAUAAAUAAAAUGGAAAAUUGGAACCAUGUUGCAAGUGCUGUGCUGCAGAAGUUCUCUUCAUGAAAGUUGGUUUUUGAGAUGAAGGCAAGGUAUCAGAAAUGUUGCCACUAUGUCUAUUGAAGGUUAUGAACCAUAGUCUUGGCUGUAAGACGUAUACUUGCUUUGAAUUGAAUGCUUAUCAUUCUCAUAUGCCAUUGCAAUCAUUAUUUCUUUUUUCUUUUUCUUUUUUUUUAAAACAUUUCUUUUUUCUUUUUUUUAUAUAUCUUUCUGGUAGUAAGAUUCAAUAUAAAGGGUUUACAAAAGUUGCCAUAUAGGAUUAAUUCUUCAACGAAGUUUAUGAAUAGUAAUGGAAGUGUUGCUCAAAUUUAUAAUGGCUUGGAAAUUUCCUAAACACAUACUCUGUAUGAUCUUGUUGAUACAUUUGCUUGGGAUUUUACAGAAUAAGUCUUUUUAAAGUCAAAGAUGUGCAAACUAUAUGAAAGUGGCUAGUGUUUCUCAAGUUCCAACUGGCAACGCCUAUAGAUGUUAGCGUUGUGGUGAAAGUCACCUGACCACUCUUGGUUGUUGUGCCUACUGCAGACUGCCCAUUAAUGGUAUCAAACAAUAAAUCGUAUCACUGACUCCAUGGAAAACUAUCCGGUGAAUGCACUGCAAGUUAAAGUCUUCAUCUGUUUUGCUGUGAAUAUUCAUAAACUACUAGCACCUGGGCUAUCAAGCAAGUUAGCAUGGAGAUCCAAAAGGAUCAAAUAGCUUUGACACUUGCUACCAUGAAAUUUCCAAGGAAGAAGAAAAAGAGGAAAUCUAUGCACCAACAUAUAUUAUAUUGCGUCUGCAAUUCACCAAAAUAUUAAUUUAUUGAGCUGGAGUAUGCCCAUGUAAUGGGAUGCCCACAAAAGCUAUGACUUGCACUGAUGAGAUGGAGAACUACUAUUUGAUGUGCGGGGACCUGAUCACAGCCGCAGGAAGGGUAAGCAUCUCCUAGGCCAGCAGGAAAGCAGUCAGUGAAGCAGAUUCUGUGGCCAGGUGAGCCAAGUUGGUUCCACCUCAAACUGAUUCUGUGGCCAAGUGAGCCUUGUUGGCUCUACCUCAAACUGAUUUUGUGGCCAGGUAGGUCAGCCAUGUUGGUUCCACCUCAAACUGAUUCCGUGGCCAGGUGAGCCAAGUUGGUUCCACCUUAAACUGAUUCUGUGGCCUAGUGAGCCAUGUUGGCUCCACCUCAAACUAAUUCUGUGACCAGGUCAGCCAUGUUGGUUCCUUCUUAAACUGAUUCUAUGGCCUAGUGAGCCAAGUUGGCUCCACCUCAAACUGAUUCUGUGGCCAGGUCAGCCAUGUUGGUUCCACCUUAAACUGAUUCUGUGGCCAGGUUGGUCAGCCAUAUUGGUUCCACCUCAAACUGAUUCUGUAUCCCGGUGAGCCCACCUUAAACUGAUUUUGUGGCCAGGUCAGUCAUGUAGGUUCCACCUCAAACUACUUGCUCAUUAAGAAGUCGGGUCUCUAUCCUGGAGCAUUUUAUAAUUAUGGUACAUCCACAUGGCUAAUGUGGGUGGUGGGCUGGUGGCAUAAUUGGCAUAUAAUCACAUAAAUUACCACUGCUGCUUAAAAAGCUCUCUUUACAGUGGAGGCGGCUCCGUUUAUUUUUGUGGAAGACAUUUUCCGUACAUGUCUCCAUUUUCAUAGGAUAAUAUUCCGUAGAAAAAUAAUCAUAUGAUAGCAUACUCAACAUAAGUUAUCACUGCUACUUAAAAAAAAAUUCUCUUAACGGUGGAAACGAUUCCGUUUGUAAUUUUCCUAAAAAAAUAUUCUCCUACAGAUCUCCCAUAGCAUCAGCUUCUGAACAGCAGCAAAACUGAUGCUAUGGCGCUUCUGUGUUACCUGCAAUUCAACAUAUCAUUGUGUGAAAAUAUGUUGAGGCGAGAUCAUAUACUUGUAAAUUUGUAGUGAACGUGAUAUUUACCCUUUUGAUUUGAAUGUGUACACAGCAGAUUGUCCUCGGCGCAUUUGCUUCUGAAGAGCUAGCCUGAGAAAGCAAAUUUGUUGCAUAGAUAGAUACAAUUAAUAGACCAAUUGUCUCAAUAAUUCACUGUUAUAAUAUAUUCUUCAGCAUUUUUUUUU